rnacentral:tRNA from 1 species
GCUGGUUAGCGUAGUUGGUAGAAAGCUCUUCUAGAAAAGGAGAGGUCCCGGGUUCGAUACCCGGACCAGGCG